rnacentral:rRNA from 1 species
ACAACGGGUAUUGCUUAGUACGGCGAGUGAGCGGCAAAAGCUCAAAUUUGAAAUCUGGUACCUUCGGUGCCCGAGUUGUAAUUUGGAGAGGGCAACUUUGGGGCCGUUCCUUGUCUAUGUUCCUUGGAACAGGACGUCAUAGAGGGUGAGAAUCCCGUGUGGCGAGGAGUGCGGUUCUUUGUAAAGUGCCUUCGAAGAGUCGAGUUGUUUGGGAAUGCAGCUCUAAGUGGGUGGUAAAUUCCAUCUAAAGCUAAAUAUUGGCGAGAGACCGAUAGCGAACAAGUACAGUGAUGGAAAGAUGAAAAGAACUUUGAAAAGAGAGUGAAAAAGUACGUGAAAUUGUUGAAAGGGAAGGGCAUUUGAUCAGACAUGGUGUUUUGUGCCCUCUGCUCCUUGUGGGUAGGGGAAUCUCGCAUUUCACUGGGCCAGCAUCAGUUUUGGUGGCAGGAUAAAUCCAUAGGAAUGUAGCUUGCCUCGGUAAGUAUUAUAGCCUGUGGGAAUACUGCCAGCUGGGACUGAGGACUGCGACGUAAGUCAAGGAUGCUGGCAUAAUGGUUAUAUGCCGCCCGUCUUGAACAACGGACCAACAG